AACGAACGCUGGCGGCGUGCCUAAUACAUGCAAGUAGAACAGUUGCGAAGGGGUGAGUAAAGCGUAGGUAACUGCCUCAUAGCGGGGGAAAACCAUUGGAAACGGUAGCCAAAACCGGAUUCAGUGGGAUAGACCUGCGUUGUAUUAGGUAGUUGUGGAGGGAAAGGUCGACCAAGGCGACGAUACAUAGCCGACCUGGGAGGGUGAUCGGCCAAACUGGGACUGGGACACGGCCCAGAAUCCUACGGGAGGCCGCAAGAGGGAAUCUUCGGACAUGGACGGAAGUCUGACCGAGCAACGCCGCGUGAGUGAAGAAGGUUUUCGGGUCUUAAAGCUCUGUUGUUAGAGAAGCGGUAACUAACCAGAAAGGGACGGCUAACUACGUGCCAGCAGCCGCGGUAAUUC
rnacentral:rRNA from 1 species